rnacentral:rRNA from 1 species
CAGCACCUCAAGUGGUCAGGAUGAUUAUUGGGCCUAAAGCAUCCGUAGCCGGCGCUGUAAGUUUUCGGUUAAAUCUGUACGCUCAACGUACAGGCUGCCGGGAAUACUGCAGCGCUAGGGAGUGGGAGAGGUAGACGGUACUCGGUAGGAAGGGGUAAAAUCCUUUGAUCUAUUGAUGACCACCUGUGGCGAAGGCGGUCUACCAGAACACGUCCGACGGUGAGGGACGAAAGCUGGGGUAGCGAACCGGAUUAGAUACCCGAGUAGUCC